AUGAGCAAAGCUCACCCUCCCGAGUUGAAAAAAUUUAUGGACAAGAAGUUAUCAUUGAAAUUAAAUGGUGGCAGACAUGUGCAAGGAAUAUUGCGGGGAUUUGAUCCUUUUAUGAACCUUGUGAUAGACGAAUGUGUGGAGAUGGCGACUAGUGGUCAAUAGAACAAUAUUGGAAUGGUGGUAAUACGAGGAAAUAGUAUCAUCAUGUUAGAAGCCUUGGAACGAG
rnacentral:lncRNA from 1 species